rnacentral:rRNA from 1 species
UUGACGGAGAGUUUGAUCCUGGCUCAGGACGAACGCUGGCGGCGGGCCUAACACAUGCAAGUCGAACGAGAUGCCUUCGGGCAUCUAGUGGCGAACGGGUGAGUAACACGUGAGGAACCUGCCCCGAAGACGGGGAUAACCACGGGAAACUGUGGCUAAUACCCGAUGCCCCCGCUGCGGCGCAUGCCGCGGCGAGGAAAGGCUCCGGUGCUUCGGGAGGGUCUCGCGGCCUAUCAGCUAGUUGGUGAGGUAACGGCUCACCAAGGCUUCGACGGGUAGCUGGUCUGAGAGGACGAUCAGCCACACUGGGACUGAGACACGGCCCAGACUCCUGCGGGAGGCAGCAGUGGGGAAUCUUGCGCAAUGGGCGAAAGCCUGACGCAGCAACGCCGCGUGGGGGAUGAAGGCUCUCGGGUUGUAAACCCCUUUCAGCAGGGACGAAAUUGACGGUACCUGCAGAAGAAGCCCCGGCCAACUACGUGCCAGCAGCCGCGGUAACACGUAGGGAGCGAGCGUUGUCCGGAUUCAUUGGGCGUAAAGGGCUCGUAGGCGGUUUGGUAAGUCAGGUGUGAAAGCUCAGGGCUCAACUCUGAGACGCCAUCUGAUACUGCCAUGACUAGAGUUCGGUAGAGGAGCGUGGAAUUUCCGGUGUAGCGGUGAAAUGCUCAGAUAUCGGGAGGAACACCAGCAGCGAAGGCGGCGCUCUGGGCCGAAACUGACGCUGAGGAGCGAAAGCGUGGGGAGCAAACAGGAUUAGAUACCCUGGUAGUCCACGCCGUAAAC